UACGUAGGGUGCAAGCGUUGUCCGGAAUUAUUGGGCGUAAAGAGCUUGUAGGCGGUUUGUCGCGUCUGCUGUGAAAUUUCCGGGGCUCAACCCCGAACUUGCAGUGGGUACGGGCAGACUAGAGUGUGGUAGGGGAGACUGGAAUUCCUGGUGUAGCGGUGAAAUGCGCAGAUAUCAGGAGGAACACCAAUGGCGAAGGCAGCUCGCUGGAACGGUACUGACGCUGAGGCGCGAAAGCGUGGGGAGCAAACAGG
rnacentral:rRNA from 1 species